GGGGAAGCCGGUGCGAAUCCGGCGCUGACCCGCAACCGUGAGCCGCCCUCGCAGGCGGCGAGUCGGAACACCC
rnacentral:ncRNA from 2 species